GCUGGGAAAUGAACUCAGGUCCUCUACAAGAGCAGACUACUUGCACUAGGUCCCAGUACUCCCCAGCAUCACUAUACUGAAGACUAAGCAUCCAACAUGGGAAAUUUGGGGAAGCAAAUCGUAUCUAAACCAUGGUAGAAACCUCUGCCAGCAACAGGAACAGGGACACCAGGAAAUAACUUCUGAAUGAAAGAGACAAGACCCGCUUGAGUUUAGGCUGGUGGAGAGAAAGAGACGGCAUGAGUUCUAAGAGGAAACAUGGUGAAGGAGGUUCCUGAAAGUGAGGAUUAUAGCAAACAUAGACCCUGGUGCACAAGUGACUCUAGUCCUAGGUGCCUCUGGAGCCCCAGGUUCCCAUGCAGACAUGGCCAAGUCCAAGAACCACCCACACACAACCAGUCUAGAAAAUGGCAUCAAGAAACCAUAGUCAAAAGACACAAAUCUCUUCAGGGGGUAGACCUCAAGUUCCUGAGGAAAAUGCGUUUUUCCAAGAAGCACAACAGGAAGGGCCUGAAGAUGUAGGCCAACAACACCAAGGUCAUGAGUGCACUCGUCCAGGCUGUCAGGCCCUUGUGAAGCCCAAAGAGAUUAAGCCCAAGAGGCCAAAGGUCCCAUCAACAAGCUCCACUGACUUGCUUUCCUCACCCACCCCAAACUUGGGAAGUAGAUUCAUGGCUACAUGGCCAAGGGUUGCAGGCUCUGCCAAGCAGAGGUCAAGGCUGGGACUGCAGCUCCAGCUAAGACCCAGGCUCUAACUGAGGCUCCCAAAGGUGCCCAAGCCCCUGUAAUAAAGGUCUUUGCCAAUGUAAAGACA